rnacentral:rRNA from 1 species
UGCGCUAUCAGAUGAGCCUAGGUCGGAUUAGCUAGUUGGUGAGGUAAUGGCUCACCAAGGCGACGAUCCGUAACUGGUCUGAGAGGAUGAUCAGUCACACUGGAACUGAGACACGGUCCAGACUCCUACGGGAGGCAGCAGUGGGGAAUAUUGCACAAUGGGGGAAACCCUGAUGCAGCCAUGCCGCGUGUGUGAAGAAGGCCUUCGGGUUGUAAAGCACUUUCAGCGAGGAGGAAAGGGAUGUAGUUAAUAACUGCAUUCUGUGACGUUACUCGCAGAAGAAGCACCGGCUAACUUCGUGCCAGCAGCCGCGGUAAUACGAGGGGUGCAAGCGUUAAUCGGAAUUACUGGGCGUAAAGCGCACGCAGGCGGUUUGUUAAGCUAGAUGUGAAAGCCCCGGGCUCAACCUGG